rnacentral:rRNA from 1 species
UACGUAGGGUGCAAGCGUUGUCCGGAAUUAUUGGGCGUAAAGGGCUCGUAGGCGGUCCAUCGCGUCGGGAGUGAAAAGCUGGGGCUUAACCCCAGUCCUGCUUCCGAUACGGGUGGACUAGAGGUAGGCAGGGGAGAACGGAAUUCCUGGUGUAGCGGUGAAAUGCGCAGAUAUCAGGAGGAACACCAAUGGCGAAGGCAGCUCGCUGGGACGUGACUGACGCUGAGACGCGAAAGCGUGGGAGCAAACAGG